CGCUCGGGGUAAACAAGGUGAAGCGGCUUGGGGCUGUUCAGCAGUCGGAUUCUGCCUCUCGGGGGGUUGCCCUUGCGGUUGGGGGUGAGGUGUUAACUAAUUAAUUGUAAUUAAUAAUAACUUCCAAACUCGAGAUGGAAUCAACCUUCCUAAAAGAAGAGUGCGGCCGUUGUAUGCGGAUGCCGGCAUCUGCUUUUGCGUAUAUGGACACUGUGUGGACAGGAGCCAACCCUUCCCCCCAGGCUGACAGCAGUCUUUCUUCCAUUGAUGUCAAUGAGCUUAGAUCAGAGCACAAGUCUUGUGAGUGAUCAAAGACAGUUCUACAUAAAAAAAGACUUCGUUUUCCAGGUGUUCAGGAAGGGUAAGCAGCUGGCACCACAGGGUAAUGCCUGAACCAACCUCCAGGGCAGCAUAUGGAUUCAUCCUCUCAACAGGACAGAGAAGGAGCUCUGAAGAGAGAUCUCAGUCUUCUUAUUGGCCUUUUGGAGCUUCAGAGAUAGACUUGACUCCUUCUCUUCUCUUGAAGAAAGUUGAAGUGUGUUACUGAGGUACGUGAAGUUGCCUGAGUCACCUUGGGCUUCAUCAGUAGCCAACAAUGGUGUUCACUGCAGGUAAGCCAAAUCUUAGGUGUGUUAAAAUGAAGUUCUCAGUCUCUUUCCAUCAGCCAUAAGAGAAAAUUCUCCAUUCUUAAGCGUUCAACUGGGAAAUUUACAGCAAGAUGGGAUAGAUCCAGACUUCAGUAUGUAGGCUUUUUUGGUGAAUUGUAGACUGUGCAAUUUUACAAGCACAGGG
ensembl:lncRNA